GAUGAACGCUGGCGGCGUGCUUAACACAUGCAAGUCGAACGGGAUCCAAGGGGUGCUUGCACUUUUUGGUGAGAGUGGCGCACGGGUGAGUAACACGUGAGUAACCUGUCCUUUUCUUUGGGAUAAGCAUUCGAAAGGGUGUUUAAUACCUUAUGUUCUGUCUGCCUCGCAUGGGGUGGGUGGGAAAGGCUUUGGCCGGAUUUGGGUGGGCUCGCGGUCUAUCAGCUUGUUGGUGGGGUGAUGGCUUACCAAGGCUUUGACGGGUAGCCGGCCUGAGAGGGUGGUCGGUCACAGUGGGACUGAGAUACGGCCCAGACGCCUGCGGGAGGCAGCAGUGGGGGAUAUUGCACAAUGGGCGAAAGCCUGAUGCAGCGACGCCGCGUGGGGGAUGAAGGCCUUCGGGUUGUAAACUUCUGUUGCUCUGAACAAGGCAUGCCAGUGGGUGUGUUGAGUGUAGGGGUUGAUUAGCGCCGGCUAACUACGUG
rnacentral:rRNA from 1 species